CUACGGGUGGCAGUAGUGAGGAAUAUUGCACAAUGGGGGGAACCCUGAUGCAGCAACGCCGCGUGGAGGAUGACGCAUUUCGGUGUGUAAACUCCUUUUAUAUGUCAAGAAAAUGACGGUAGCAUAUGAAUAAGCACCGGCUAACUCCGUGCCAGCAGCCGCGGUAAUACGGAGGGUGCAAGCGUUACUCGGAAUCAUUGGGCGUAAAGGACGCGUAGGCGGGUUGGAAAGUCAGGUGUGAAAUCCUACAGCUUAACUGUAGAACUGCACUUGAAACUUCUAAUCUAGAGUAUGGGAGGGGGAGAUGGAAUUAGUGGUGUAGGGGUAAAAUCCGUAGAUAUCACUAGGAAUACCUAAAGCGAAGGCGAUCUCCUGGAACAUUACUGACGCUAAGGCGUGAAAGCGUGGGGAGCAAACAGGAUUAGAUACCCCAGUAGUC
rnacentral:rRNA from 1 species